rnacentral:rRNA from 1 species
AUUGAACGCUGGCGGCAUGCCUUACACAUGCAAGUCGAACGGCAGCGGACCUUCGGGUGCCGGCGAGUGGCGAACGGGUGAGUAAUAUAUCGGAACGUACCUUUCAGUGGGGGAUAACGUAGCGAAAGUUACGCUAAUACCGCAUAUUCUGUGAGCAGGAAAGCAGGGGAUCGCAAGACCUUGCGUUGAUUGAGCGGCCGAUAUCAGAUUAGCUAGUUGGUGAGGUAAAGGCUCACCAAGGCGACGAUCUGUAGCGGGUCUGAGAGGAUGAUCCGCCACACUGGAACUGAGACACGGUCCAGACUCCUACGGGAGGCAGCAGUGGGGAAUUUUGGACAAUGGGCGCAAGCCUGAUCCAGCCAUGCCGCGUGAGUGAAGAAGGCCU